CCUACGGGUGGCAGCAGUCGAGAAUCAUUCACAAUGGGGGAAACCCUGAUGGUGCGACGCCGCGUGGGGGAAUGAAGGUCUUCGGAUUGUAAACCCCUGUCAUGUGGGAGCAAAUUAAAAAGAUAGUACCACAAGAGGAAGAGACGGCUAACUCUGUGCCAGCAGCCGCGGUAAUACAGAGGUCUCAAGCGUUGUUCGGAAUCACUGGGCGUAAAGCGUGCGUAGGCUGUUUCGUAAGUCGUGUGUGAAAGGCGCGGGCUCAACCCGCGGACGGCACAUGAUACUGCGAGACUAGAGUAAGGGAGGGGGAACCGGAAUUCUCGGUGUAGCAGUGAAAUGCGUAGAUAUCGAGAGGAACACUCGUGGCGAAGGCGGAUUCCUGGACAUUAACUGACGCUGAGGCACGAAGGCCAGGGGAGCGAAAGGGAUUAGAUACCCGGGUAGUC
rnacentral:rRNA from 1 species